CACCGUCGUGCUCGCAAGUAUAGAGGAAGCCCGUUGCUACUAGCUUUGUCGGAUCUCUGUCAUCGAACCCGUCCUUGCCGCCGCCAUUGGAGUCGCGAAUGGAGGAGGGAGAAGAGGCACGAAAGGGAGCGUCACGGUGUUGCCGUGGUCGUCGAGUGGCUGGGCUUGCCAUCGUCGCGUUUGAAGGGAGGCGUCACUGAUAUACCCGACAGCAGCUUCCCCUGCGUUCCCAAUUCCAUUCUUGAAACUUAUUAUCAUCUUUAUCCGGAACCACUGAUGUCACCGCUACGGAGGUGAUUGGGAUAGGUGCGAUUGUCAUUGUUGUUGCUGCCCCAGAAGAAGUGAGGCUGCUGCUGCUGUUCCGGCCGCAUUGGCUGUUGUAAACUGGAAAAAAAGAAGGGCAUCAUUGCGUUUAAAUUCUACGGUUCGACUAAUUGAGGAUAAUUUUUUUGGACUCGUAAAGACAAAAGGAGUUGACUAGUUGUUGUGGCACCCUGUAUAAGAUGGGAUGGGUCUUAUAAUGAGUUUGGUUAUCUAAAUGUAUUAUUUUGAUGUGUUCUUUACUUUUUGAUAAGAGACUUUAUCCGAUAUUAUAUGUAAUGGAUAAAUUACACUCUAUUUUGAUUAGUGUUGUAAUGAAUAUCUAAUUUUUAAUGAAACUUUUAUGAUUUGGAUUUA